CUAGAGCUGGGCCGAUACUCCCCAGAGACAUUGAUGGAUAAGGGCAGGAAGGCCAAGAGAUUCCAGUGGGGCCUCCGCCCAGAGAUCAAACAACACUUAUUGAUACUGGAGCUCAAGACACACUCAGCCAUUCUAGUAAAGGCACAGAUUGUGGAGAGGAGUUUCAACACCCGUCCUCAGUCAGCAGGGAGUCACCGACCCUCGGCUCCACUCUGCAGACCAGCACCUACUACACCGGUCCAACCAAAUAAGAGGCCCAGACGAGUGAUCCAGGCCCCUCCUCAGGCUCCAGGGGCAGCAUGUGGAAAGAUCUGUCAGCACUG
rnacentral:lncRNA from 1 species